CGGGUUUACUCCUGGAUGUUACCGUUUCGUCCCACCGAAGUAGGACGGCGUUUUGGUGUCUGAUUCGGUAAGAAUCGGGAGCACCAUCUGCGUAGGCUUGCGGUUUAAGGCUUGCGCCCCCUACGGUCUUGGAUAGCCCCCGCCAGGCAGGGACCCCAAUUUUUCAGGCUGACGGCGUUGCUUCCGUCA
rnacentral:sRNA from 1 species